rnacentral:rRNA from 1 species
UUAGACUUGAGACCGGGAGAGGUUAGAGGUACUCCCAGGGUAGAGGUGAAAUUCUGUAAUCCUGGGAGGACCGCCUGUUGCGAAGGCGUCUAACUGGAACGGUUCUGACGGUGAGGGACGAAAGUUAGGGGCGCGAACCGGAUUAGAUACCCGGGUAGUCCUAACCGUAAACGAUGCGGACUUGGUGUUGGGGUGGCUUUGAGCUGCUUCAGUGCCGUAGGGAAGCUGUUAAGUCCG